rnacentral:misc_RNA from 1 species
AGCAGAUCAAACCCUAAAAACAAUUUUUUAUCCUAGCUACAAUGUCAAUCUCUCCCAAUUUCUCACAAUCUAUAGGCGGUAAAAUGCACUCUGAACACAUUCCCUUCCAACCAUUGCCAUAAAGAGUACAUUAUUUUGCUAAAAAAUAAAAAGUAGAUACUUCACAUAACGGAAACAUAACUACUGUAAUCCAUCAUUAUUUAUGGCAAAAAAAAUGGUAAAGAUUAAAAUGCCCAUGCCAUUCAAAAAGCAUCGUCAUCAACCAAAAACUUUUAAGAUCUUAAACAUAUAUAUCCUUAACAAAUCUAAUAGGUCCAACUUAAAGAGUGAAAUUUCAAAAUAUUCCUUCGAAAAUUCCAGUAGUAACUUAAUAAGAAAACAUGAAACAGAAUAAAUUCAAUUCUUAGGUUCUGGCAGCAGUUCCAACUCCUGCAGAACGAAUUCCUUGACCAGGCUGUCCAGGCUGUCCAGGCUUAGGCAAAUCAUCCCUGCGCCUGAGGAAGCGCUGUGGUGGCUCACGUUUCCUGCGCUCAGAGCGCGAGCGAACCCUCACAACCCUGGAGUGAAUGGCACAUGAAACGCAGUACUGCAUCUUCACAUACAGUUUGGGAAGUACAUAUCCAUCGUAAACGCAGGAAUCCUGAACGUCUCUCACAGCAGCUUGCUCGACGAUGUUUCUCACAAGAAACCUCUUGAUAGCUUUGUCCUUAGGGCAGCAUUUGCCGCAGUUGGAGCAGCGGAUGAACUUGACGUGUCCUCGGCCAUGCUUGUUGCGGCCGCCGUUCCUACGCUUGAAUGUCUGCGAAAAGGGGAAAAUAUUUGUCAGGAAGUUUGUGAAAGAUUGAGAUAGAGGAGGAAUGGAAGAGAAGAAGAGGCUGAUCUAGCUCACCAUGGCGGCUGGUGGUGGAGUUUUCCUGGAGAGAAGUGUGGGAUCUAAAAGCCGCCGCUAGGGUUUUUC